rnacentral:rRNA from 1 species
AUUGAACGCUGGCGGCAGGCCUAACACAUGCAAGUCGGGCGGAUGAAGGGAGCUUGCUCCUGGAUUCAGCGGCGGACGGGUGAGUAAUGCCUAGGAAUCUGCCUGGUAGUGGGGGAUAACGUCCGGAAACGGGCGCUAAUACCGCAUACGUCCUGAGGGAGAAAGUGGGGGAUCUUCGGACCUCACGCUAUCAGAUGAGCCUAGGUCGGAUUAGCUAGUUGGUGGGGUAAAGGCCUACCAAGGCGACGAUCUGUAACUGGUCUGAGAGGAUGAUCAGUCACACUGGAACUGAGACACGGUCCAGACUCCUACGGGAGGCAGCAGUGGGGAAUAUUGGACAAUGGGCGAAAGCCUGAUCCAGCCAUGCCGCGUGUGUGAAGAAGGUCUUCGGAUUGUAAAGCACUUUAAGUUGGGAGGAAGGGCAGUAAGUUAAUACCUUGCUGUUUUGACGUUACCAACAGAAUAAGCACCGGCUAACUUCGUG